rnacentral:hammerhead_ribozyme from 1 species
GCACUACUGAAGAGUCCCACAAUAGGAUGAAACGGCCGUCCAGUGC